rnacentral:rRNA from 1 species
AUGGCCAAGAAGCAGAGCCUCUUCUCCGCCGUGCUCGGGACUCGGCCUCCGAUCUCCACCCGAGCCACCGCCACCGCCGUGACCAAAUCCGAAUCGAUACCGCACCCUUCCUCGCUGCACCACCACGGCAGGUCAUCCCAUCCUUCCAUGGCAGAGAAGCUCGCCGCCGGGCGAACCCUCGUCCUUGACGUCGACGACGGGCUCCUCCUUCCGUCGUCGUCGUCCCCCUUCCCCUACUUCAUGCUCGUGGCGCUGGAGGCCGGAGGGUACCUACGGGGCCUCGUACUUCUCCUGCUCUACCCAAUCAUCUUCUGCGUGGGCCGCGACAGCGACGCGGCCGUGAGGUUGAUGGCUAUGGCGGCCUUCAGCGGGUUGCGCGCGGGCCCGUUCCUCGCUGGCCGCGCCGUGCUGCCCAAGUGGCUCAUGGAAGACGUGGCCACGGAAGGCUUCGAGACAAUGAGGAUGAGUGGGCGGAGGGUGUGCGUGGCGAGGAAGUUGCCGAGGCUGAUGGUAGAGGGGUUCCUCAGGGAGUACCUCGGGGCGGAGGCGGUCGUCGGGAAGGAGAUGAAGGUGCUCUGGGGGUUCUACACAGGUCUAAUGGAGGACCAAGACAAGGUGGUGUUGGAGGAGGAGGAGAAGAUCAUGCUGGAGGGUAAUGAUGCCGUGGGAUUCUCUGGCUCGCUCCAGUUUCUCCAGCAUCCCCUCGCGCGCUGUUGCAAGAAUGUCUACCUCGUGACACGAGACGACAGAGCCACAUGGAAGGCGCUAACGAGGAGCAGGUACCCCAAGGCCCUGGUGUUCCACGACGGCCGCCUCGCAUUCCGGCCGACGGCCGGCAGCACGGCCAUGUUCAUGUGGUUGCCAUUCGGCGUUGCCCUUGGCGUCGCCCGCCUCGCCAUCGCGCUCACCGUGCCAUAUCGAUAUUCCACACCAAUCCUGGCAUCCACUGGCAUGUCGUGGCGCCUCAAGGAGGGCGAGCGGCCGCCGCUGCUGGGCGCCGACGGCGAGCCAGGGCGUCCGCGCGGGCAGCUGUAUGUGUGCAACCACCGCACGCUCAUCGACCCGGUGUACAUAUCGGUGGCGCUGGACCGACCGGUGCGGGCCGUGUCGUAUAGCCUCAGCCGCUUCUCGGAUCUCCUCUCGCCGAUCGGUCGCACCGUGCGGCUGGCACGAGACCGCGUCGUUGACGCAGGCAUCAUGGGCCGCCUCCUGGACAGCGGCGACCUCCUCGUCGUCUCCCCCGAGGGCACCACCUGCCGGGAGCCGUACCUACUCCGGUUCAGUCCGCUGUUCGCGGAGCUCAGCGACGACGUGGUACCCGUGGGCCUCGCCACCGAGAUGGGCAUGUUCUACGCGACCACCGCGGGGGGGCUCAAAUUCCUGGACUCGCUCUACUACAUGGUGAAUCCAAGGAUGUGCUACACGGUGCAGUUUCUGGAGCGGGUGAGCACGUCGGCGGUCAAAGAGAGGAAGGUGCCGAGCACCGACAUGGCCAACCUCGUGCAGAGGAAGAUGGGGGAUGCGCUUGGAUACGGCUGCACCAUGUUCAACAGGAAGGACAAAUACCUCAUGCUUGCUGGCAACGACGGCAAGUGCUCGAUUGCUCCUGCAGCUGUGAGGAGCUAA